UUUUUUUUCUUUUUGUAUUAAAAAUAGAUUUUGAAAAUCUAAAAUGGAUUUUACCAUAUCCGCAAAAAAAU
rnacentral:tRNA from 1 species